CAGCUUGUUGGUGGGGUAAUGGCCUACCAAGGCGACGACGGGUAGCCGGCCUGAGAGGGCGACCGGCCACACUGGGACUGAGACACGGCCCAGACUCCUACGGGAGGCAGCAGUGGGGAAUAUUGCACAAUGGGCGGAAGCCUGAUGCAGCGACGCCGCGUGAGGGAAGACGGCCUUCGGGUUGUAAACCUCUUUCAGCAGGGACGAAGCGAGAGUGACGGUACCUGCAGAAGAAGCGCCGGCCAACUACGUGCCAGCAGCCGCGGUAAGACGUAGGGCGCGAGCGUUGUCCGGAAUUAUUGGGCGUAGAGAGCUCGUAGGCGGCUUGUUGCGUCGGCUGUGAAAAACCCACGGCUCAACCGUGGGC
rnacentral:rRNA from 1 species